AAGUCGUAACAAGGUUUCCGUAGGUGAACCUGCGGAAGGAUCAUUAACAGUGCUCGUAGUGCUCUUGCGCAAGCAAAUCACUACAACACGCGCAAGCAAAUCACUACAACACGUACAAUCAUGUGUGAAUCGUUUUGACCAUCCAAUGUGCGUUUGUGAGGACCAGGGCGUCGCUCAGGUACAUGCUCAAUGUUGCGAAAUGGGAAUAGGCUUUGAUGUCUUACUCUUUAGGGAGCAACGACUGAUCUUUCGAAGCCAUCUCGCGCACUGAUAUCAUGCUCCUGUUUGGAACUACUACCUCUCGAGCGCACGUUCAUUUUACCCCACCUGUCCUUUUGAACACUGAAUAGUAAAGCUUAGUUGAAAAACUUGCAAAACUUUUAGCAAUGGAUCUCUAGGCUCUU
rnacentral:misc_RNA from 1 species